UCUCAGGAGAGUGGCAGCCACAGGGAUUCGCCCAGGUCUUAUAACACACCCACUCGAUGGGGUCUCCCUAGCCACGCCACCUCACAACACCCAUCUCCCACUUCUGGCUUCCCAGGAUUUCCGGAGUGAUCACAAUUAUCGGCCUCUCGCUCCACAGCUAAGGCCACCGCAUAUCAAAAAUAGCAGCGUGUGAGUAAAAGUUUCAUGAGCCCUCGCCUUGAAAUGGCACAGAGGACACAGCACACCAGCAGUAAGGCAUGGGGACUCGGCAGGACUGAUCUGAUUGAGAGAAACGCAGGACAGCGAGGCGGGGCUAUGUUGGUGGUGGCCACCAGGUAACCGUGGGCUUUGCAGAAGAGAAAGGUCACUGCAAACCGUAGCUGGACGGAAACUUUUCAAGCCUCAAGUGAGUUAUGCUGUGACGGGA
rnacentral:lncRNA from 1 species